rnacentral:rRNA from 1 species
AUUGAACGCUGGCGGCAUGCUUUACACAUGCAAGUCGAACGGUAACAGGUCUUCGGAUGCUGACGAGUGGCGAACGGGUGAGUAAUGUAUCGGAACGUGCCCAGUAGUGGGGGAUAACUACUCGAAAGAGUGGCUAAUACCGCAUGAGAACUGAGGUUGAAAGCGGGGGACCUUCGGGCCUCGCGCUACUGGAGCGGCCGAUAUCAGAUUAGGUAGUUGGUGGGGUAAAGGCCUACCAAGCCGACGAUCUGUAGCUGGUCUGAGAGGACGACCAGCCACACUGGGACUGAGACACGGCCCAGACUCCUACGGGAGGCAGCAGUGGGGAAUUUUGGACAAUGGACGCAAGUCUGAUCCAGCAAUGCCGCGUGCAGGACGAAGGCCUUCGGGUUGUAACUGCUUUGUACAGAACGAAAAGGACUCUGGUUAAUACCUGGGCUCAUGACGGUACUGUAAGAAUAAGCACCGGCUAACUACGUGCCAG